rnacentral:rRNA from 1 species
UACGAGGGGUGCAAGCGUUGCUCGGAAUUAUUGGGCGUAAAGGGCAAGUAGGUGGUCUCAUUUGUCUGGGGUGAAAGCCUUGAGCUUAACUCAAGAAGUGCCCCGGAAACGGUGAGACUCGAGUAUUGGAGAGGGUCGUGGAAUUCCCGGUGUAGCGGUGAAAUGCGUAGAGAUCGGGAGGAACACCAGAGGCGAAGGCGAGUCUCUAGACAACUCCUGACACUGAGGCACGAAAGCUAGGGGAGCAAACAGG